UUGAAAAAUGUAAAGCGUUAUGUGGAUCGAACAUUAGUAGAGAAGCGUGUGAGCCAGCUGCCAAGAAAAGCCGCUAUUGUUUCAUAAGUACCCGUACCGUAAACCGACACAGGUGGAUGAGGAGAGAAUCCUAAGGCCGGCGGGAGAAGUGUUGUUAAGGAACUCGGCAAAAUGACUCCGUAACUUCGGGAGAAGGAGUGCCACAGAGAUGUGGCCGCAGAGAAAUGGCCCAAGCAACUGUUUAGCAAAAACACAGGUCUAUGCAAAACCGAAAGGUGAGGUAUAUGGGCUGACGCCUGCCCGGUGCUGGAAGGUUAAGAGGAGAGGUUAGAGCAAUCGAAGCUUUGAAUUUAAGCCCCAGUAAACGGCGGCCGUAACUAUAACGGUCCUAAGGUAGCGAUAUUCCUUGUCGGGUAAGUUCCGACCCGCACGAAAGGCGUAAUGAUUUGGGCACUGUCUCAACAACACACCCGGUGAAAUUGAAAUACCAGUGAAGAUGCUGGUUACCUGCGCCAGGACGGAAAGACCCCAUGGAGCUUUACUCCAGUUUGAUACUGGGAUUCGGUACUGUCUGUACAGGAUAGGUGGGAGGCUAGGAAAUGGUGACGCCAGUUGCCAUGGAGCCAACCUUGGGAUACCACCCUUACAGUACUGGGUUUCUAACCUGCAGCCGUAACCCGGCUGGGGGACAAUGUCUGACGGGGAGUUUGACUGGGGCGGUCGCCUCCGAAAGAGUAUCGGAGGCGCUCAAAGGUUCCCUCAGAACGGUUGGAAACCGUUCGAAGAGUGCAAAGGCAGAAGGGAGCUUGACUGCGACACCGACGGGUGGAGCAGAUACGAAAGUAGGACUUAGUGAUCCGGUGGUAUAAAGUGGGAUUGCCAUCGCUCAACGGAUAAAAGCUACCCUGGGAUAACAGGCUUAUCACUCCCAAGAGUUCACAUCGACGGAGUGGUUUGGCACCUCGAUGUCGGCUCAUCGCAUCCUGGAGCUGUAGCAGGUUCCAAGGGUUGGGCUGUUCGCCCAUUAAAGCGGUACGCGAGCUGGGUUCAGAACGUCGUGAGACAGUUCGGUCCCUAUCCGGCGUGGGCGUAGGAUAUUUGAGAGGAGCUGUCCUUAGUACGAGAGGACCGGGAUGGACAAACCUCUGGUGUAUCUGUUGUUUUACCAAAGGCAUGGCAGAGUAGCCAAGUUUGGCAGGGAUAAACGCUGAAGGCAUCUAAGCGUGAAGCCCCCCUCAAGAUAAGAUAUCCCAUCUUCGGAGUAAGACCCCUUGAAGACUACAAGGUUGAUAGGCUUCAGGUGUAAGUGUGGUAACGCACUCAGCUGAGAAGUACUAAUAGGUCGAGGACUUAUC
rnacentral:rRNA from 1 species